rnacentral:rRNA from 1 species
AUUGAACGCUGGCGGCAUGCCUUACACAUGCAAGUCGAACGGUAGCGGGCCUUCGGGUGCCGACGAGUGGCGAACGGGUGAGUAAUGUAUCGGAACGUACCUUUCAGUGGGGGAUAACGUAGCGAAAGUUACGCUAAUACCGCAUAUUCUGUGAGCAGGAAAGCAGGGGAUCGCAAGACCUUGCGCUGAUUGAGCGGCCGAUAUCAGAUUAGCUAGUUGGUGAGGUAAAAGCUCACCAAGGCGACGAUCUGUAGCGGGUCUGAGAGGAUGAUCCGCCACACUGGAACUGAGACACGGUCCAGACUCCUACGGGGGGCAGCAGUGGGGAAUUUUGGACAAUGGGGGAAACCCUGAUCCAGCCAUGCCGCGUGAGUGAAGAAGGCCUUCGGGUUGUAAAGCUCUUUCGGCCGGGAAGAAAUCGUAUGGGUUAAUACCCUGUGCGGAUGACGGUACCGGCAUAAGAAGCACCGGCUAACUACGUGCCAGCAGCCGCGGUAAAAC